ACCAAAAUUUGCACAAUAAGAAUACAUAUUUCUAUUCCACAUUUUAAAGGCUCGAUAUGAUGUCAGAAUAGGUAUAGAGGAAACAAGAAAUACAUAACAUAAAGAAUGUGAGGUGUGUUGAAACACACUCUUAAACGAAUGAAUGACUGGCAUUGUAAUUGAGAGAAACACUCGUCUCAAAUUAUAAUAGACUUUUUACCAAUUUUUGAAGCAACAUUCUUAUUUAAAGAAUAUAAUAGUUAAUAGUGGAGCAGAAAAGGAGUGCCAUUCUAGAGACGGAAAUAGCUAAGUAAACCAAGAAUGUUUUGCAGCGGCCUGUUGCUGAGUUCAACCAUUAUACUUUGAAACAUCCUUUCUAGUGCAAAAUGCUGGAGCAGGAAAAAGCUUGCUGUCACUUGGUGAAUAAAUAAAAAAUAUAUUUCUCGAGCUACUGAAGCACUCUAGUUUUAAGUGAUUUAUACUCUGUUCAAAGUAGUACAUGUAUAUUCUUCUAUUUCUGGCAAAUUACCCGUUCAAUAUAUGCAUAUGCGGUCACUUCUUCCAUUGAGGCAACCUCUGCACCACUACCUGUACAUAUCAUCGAACUACCAUUGUAUGAGCGAGCGCUAAAAUUGCAGACAGACAGUUGUUCAUUUUUAGUUGUUUACCCACAUGUUUAGGACCUUGAGAUGAUAAUAACGUCUGACUUGAAUUUGUUGGGAAUAAAACCCCUACCAAAAUAAUAUUCACGGUAAUAAAAGCGGAAUAAUAAUGUANN
rnacentral:lncRNA from 1 species